GUGCUGGCUUUGACAGCACAUUUACUUAAAGCAGAAUGAUACCAAGAAGAUUAGCAUGGCCCCAGCACAAGGACGACAUGAAAAUUCUUGAAGCAUUCCAUAUUUUA
ensembl:snRNA U6 U6 spliceosomal RNA